UGUCUAUUGGCUGGAGACGGCGGUGCU
rnacentral:sRNA from 1 species